GUAGGUGAACCUGCGGAAGGAUCAUUACCGAUUUUUAGCGGACCUGAUCUUUGGUCAUGGUCUCGCGAAAACUUGUAUUUAAAACCCCACUCUUAUAAAUUCAUUUUAUAUUAUGUAUAUAAAUAAAUAAAGAUCACUUUCAACAACGGAUCUCUUGGCUCUC
rnacentral:misc_RNA from 1 species